CUGACUAUCUCGCUGGCUGACGGAGAAGAUCCCACCGUGUGUUCUUGUUCUAGAAAUACACGGUGAGCAUGGACUUCGUGAGGAGGUUUGAGCGGCAGUGUGGAUCCCAGGCCAGCGUAAAGCGACUGCGAGCCCAUCCUGCCUACCACAGCUUCAGCAACAAGUGGAACUUGCCUGUCUACUUCCAGAUAAGGUUCAGAGAAGUGGCAGGAUCCUUAGAAGCAUCCCUCACAGAUGGGCUAGAAGACGCCCCAGCUGGAAGUCCGUAUUGCCUUCUGGCUUCUCACAGAACAUGGAUCAGUCUGAGCAAAUGCUGGUCCGAUGAGAUGUUCCUGCCUUUGUUGGCACAUCGUCUGUGGAGGCUCACGCUGCAGAUUCUGGCCCGAUUCUCUGUGUUUGUCAGUGAG
rnacentral:lncRNA from 1 species